rnacentral:rRNA from 1 species
CUGGCGGCGUGCUUCAUACAUGCAAGUCGAACGAGAAUCUGGCUUCGGUCAGAGGAAAGUGGCGGACGGGUGAGUAAUGUGUAGAGAAUCUGCCCUUAGUGGGGGACAACAGUUGGAAACGACUGCUAAUACCCCAUAUGCGCGUAGCUGAGAUGCUAUUCGUGAAAACUCCGGUGCUAAAGGAUGAGUCUGCAUCUGAUUAGCUAGUUGGCGGUGUAAUGGACCACCAAGGCGACGAUCAGUAGCUGGUUUGAGAGGAUGAUCAGCCACAAUGGGACUGAGACACGGCCCAUACUCCUACGGGAGGCAGCAGUAGGGAAUUUUGCGCAAUGGGGGAAACCCUGACGCAAGCAACGCCGCGUGAUUGAAUAAGCCCUUCGGGGUGUAAAGAUCUGUCAGUAGGGACGAAACUUGACGGUACCUACAGAGGAAGCAUCGGCUAACUCCGUGCCAGCCGCUGC